CUAAUCGGGGAGAGGGGAAUGCUAAGAUUUUAUCUUGUCCUAAGGAAGCUGAGUGUUUGUGUGUGUGUGUGUGUGUGUGCGCGCGUGUGUGUGCGCGCUUGCUUGCUUGAGCUUUUAGCCUGACCUGAGUUGCUGUCUCUACACAAUGCACUUCGGGAAUCCAGCAGAGAUAGGCCAGUCCAUCCAGGCAGAGCUGUAGAAAGAGGCCGGAGGGUCACAGUCGAGGCCCAGCCAGAGGCUUAUCCUGGCAUUUAGUACAGAGUAAAUCUAGUGUGCAGCGAAGGCAGAUUCCUCUAUUCUCCAGCGGAAGGGAGGGAACUGAAGAAUCCAAUCUAUAGGACCUCUUAGUGCAGUCCUGUCCCACAGCCCUUCAUGGAACUGAAUCAUGCCUGCCCAAAAUCUCCCUAGAAAUCAGCUAAUCUAAACUUCUUACCGCAUAGACUGGGGAACAGAAGUUUUGAAAGGUGAAUUUCUGUCUUGCACAGCCAGUGCAGAGUCAAGAUUCUAAUCUACCUGGAUCUCCCAAACCCCAUUUAAAAGCCCUUUAAAACAAACCCUACACGUUGUUUUCCCCGGUUCUGGCGGACCUGAAGCUUGUCUGAACUAUUCUGGAUUCUUCCUGGGAGAAGAAAAGCCUCCACUGGUGAAGAAGAAAAACCAAUACAGACCAAUAGGAGGAGGGCAGGGAGAUCUUCCACGUGAUAGCUUCCUUAAGCACCGGACUCCUCCCCUAAACCGUGGAGCUCAUGGCUUCCCUGCUGACUGGACCCAGUUUGCCUACACUGAGCCUCAGCUCUCCCAUUUCCCAAAAAGUAAUGCAGGCAGAGAAGCGAAUUGUUCCUGGCCACAGUGAUACACCCACAUUGUGUGCUGAAGACUCUGGGCCCCCUUCUGACCUUUCCCUGCUCCCUCUCUCCCUCUUCCUUCCAGAAUAGCAUUCAUUCAUUCAUUCACUUACUCACUCUCCCCAUCACGUAUCAUUCCAUGAGCAUCGACUCUGUGCCAGGUGAGUGAGAGGCUGCGUUUACCCCCUAGGAGCUCCCAGCCUAGAUGGACAUCUACAAGAAGAGGCAAAAACAUAGGCCAAUGAGGAAAAACAUGAUGAAUAUCCCCCACAAAGGGAACUGCCGCAUUUGUCUGUGAGAUUCAGGGAAG
rnacentral:lncRNA from 1 species